rnacentral:rRNA from 1 species
UACGUAGGGAGCAAGCGUUGUCCGGAAUCAUUGGGCGUAAAGCGCGCGUAGGUGGCUUCGUAAGUCCGCUGUGAAAGUCAAAGGCUCAACCUUUGAAAGCCGGUGGAUACUGCAAGGCUAGAGUCGGAAGAGGCGAGUGGAAUCCUGGUGUAGCGGUGGAAUGCGCAGAUAUCAGGAGGAACACCAAUAGCGAAGGCAGCUCGC